AGCACACUUUACUUGAACUCUUUUUUUGUUGGGGUUUUUGUGUGUGUGUGUGUUUGGGGGGUGAUAGGGAUAUAGGAGUAAACGAUAAAGUAGGCGUCCGCCUCUCUUCUUGUUUUAGGGCACUGUGGUGGUUGAUGCAAAAAGGACUUUCUUUCUCUACAAACAUAUAGUGUCGUUUCUCUCUCUCCGCCUCUCUUCGUGUUUUAGGACACCGUGGUGGUUGGUAUCCCGGCGACGGUUUUGAGGUUUUCUCAUAUAUUCAACUCUGCUCCGGCGAACAUUUUUGCUACUCAAAGCUCGCCGCCGACGACUUUCCUCCUGAAAUCGGUUUGCUUCUUCUUUUAAUCUAUUCUAUUUCCUUUUAGGCUUUUCCCUUUUUCUUUCAGUUCUGAAUUUCUCCUUCAUUCUUUUUUAUGAAUUAAACCAAACACUUAAUCCAAUUGCUUUCUCCCAAGUGCGUGGUUUUAACUAGGGUUUGAACGAAAAUCAUUUUAGUUUUUGGGUUUUUGUUUUUGAAAUUUGUUUAGUUCUUUCAUUGUUUUUCUGGCUUUUGUUGAAGAAUUAAGCUAGUGAAAUCUGCUGGUAGUUAUGGUUGAAACGUUUGUUUAGAUUAAAAGAAUUUUAUUUUCUUUCUCUUAAUUAUUUUGUAUUGAAAACGUGUGUUUCAAUUGUAUAUUCUGGUACGCACCAUUUGAAUUCAAGCAAAUUCAAAAUAAUAUACCAGAUCUGGUUUUCGCUCACUCACUCCACCGGUAACCAUUUAAUUGAUUAUUAUUGAUUUCUUGCUCGCUUUUUUCUCUUUCUGUUUUUCCUAUUCUCUCUUCUGCUUUUUGUGGGUGAGUGUGGGUGUGUUCUGUUUUGUUGGACAGGUGCAUUAUUUUUCCGGCGAGGAUUUCCGGCAAGCUACAGUACUUCCGGCGACUCCCGUUCAGAUUUU
rnacentral:lncRNA from 1 species